UCAGUUUUGGGGCACCCUCUGUGAAAAAAAAAAAACAGAAAUAAAAAAAAAAGAGGUGCGCCCUCUCCACCUUGCCUCUGUUCUUUCGAUUUUUCCUUGUUACCAGCAACUCUUGUUACGUGUUUGGCACUAUCUUUCAACUUUGCAUUAUUGUUUGAUUGUGCUAAUCCUUCAUUUGAGUGCAGCCUUCCCAGAACUCCAC
rnacentral:lncRNA from 1 species